rnacentral:rRNA from 1 species
CGCGUAGGCGGUUUCGGAAGUCAUGGGUGAAAGUCCUCGGCUCAACCGAGGGAUUGCCUGUGAAACCACGGGACUGGAGUGCUGGAGAGGGAAGCGGAACUCCCAGUGUAGCGGUGAAAUGCGUAGAUAUUGGGAGGAACAUCUGUGGCGAAGGCGGCUUCCUGGACAGACACUGACGCUGAGGCGCGAAAGCCAGGGGAGCGAACG